CAGAAUCUCAAGCAUACAAGCAAGAUAAUAUUUUAAAAUUAAUAUUUCUGGCAGUUUCGAUAGUAAAUGAUAUUUAUGUAUACAUGUAUUGGUGUCUCUUUGACACCAUUUCCUUUCUCAAUUUUAUUCAUUUGUGUAACUACUUACUUGGUAAUAAUGUGUUCCCUUUAUCCUCUUAGUUGUUCAUUGUGUAGUUUUUUUUUUAAACAUGGUCUUUUGAAUAAGAUAGUUUAAGUAUAUGCAAAAGAAAGAGUUCUACAAUACUACCAUGCAAUGAUGACAUCCUUCUAUACCUGUAUCUCUUUAGAGUGCCCGUGUAUUUGUAACUUUUAUUGUACUGCAGGGCUUUACACUGUAUAACAACAUAAUAAACAUUUAAUUAUUUUUUUUAUAUCCAAAGAAUUAUAUUGAUGAUGUUUAACCAUGACCAACUGUUGCUUAGUAAGCAAUUAAAUAUGUAUCUUCGUCUGUUUUCUAUUAGUUGUAUAUCCUUUCCGAAACUUCAUUUUUUUUUAGAAAAAAUUAAAAUUAUUUGAUAUGUUUUUAAGCUAUAAAUUUAGUAUCUGUAUUUUAUACUGCUACUCCAAACAUUUGUGAUAAAAUUUUAACUGUGAUAUUUCAUUUAAAUACUAGAACGCUGGUAACGGUCAAACAUAUUGAGAAAUUAAUAUACAUGUACAUCGUAGUACCUUUCUAAGUUGUAUUUCCUGAACUUGGUGUAUUAACAUUGUACUAAGUUGAUGGAUAAGUGUUCCACUUGAAUAAUGAUACUGUGUAUCUAAUUUGUUUUUAGCUCACCUGUCCCGAAGGGACAAGUGAGCUUAUGCCAUCACUUGGCGUCCGUCGUCGUCCGUCGUCCGUCGUCUGUCGUCGUAAACUAUUUCAAGAAUCUUCUCCUCUGAAACUACUGGGCCAAAUACUUUCAAACUUUAACUGAAUGUUCCUUAGGGUAUCUAAUUUAUAAAUUGUAUCCGAAGUUUUGAUCUAUCAACAAACAUGGUCGCCAUUGCUAAAAAUAGAACAUAGGGGUCAAAUGCAGUUUUUGGCUUAUAACUCAAAAAC
rnacentral:lncRNA from 1 species